ACCAAUUGGGACAUCACAUCCCUGGCUCUGGGUUAGAAAGCUGACAGUCCUUGAUCCUGUGGCCACUGCCCCAUCAUUCCUGCUCCUGAGGACUCAGUCUCAUGGCUGUGGCAGAGGUGUCCAGGACCUGCCUGCUCACGGUUCGUGUCCUGCAGGCCCAUCGCCUACCCUCUAAGGACCUAGUGACCCCCUCUGACUGCUACGUGGCUCUCUGGCUGCCCAUGGCCUGCAGCCACAGGCUCCAGACACGCACGGUCAAGAACAGCAGCAGCCCUGUCUGGAACCAGAGCUUUCACUUCAGGAUCCACAGGCAGCUCAAGAAUGUCAUGGAACUGAAAGUCUUUGACCGGACCUGGUGACCGGAGAUGACCCUGUGUUGUCAGUACUGUUUGAUGCGGGGACUCUGCGGGCUGGGGAGUUCCGGCGUGAGAGCUUCUCACUGAGCCCUCAGGGUGAGGGGCGCCUGGAAGUUGAAUUUCACCUGCAGAGUCUGGCUGACCGUGGCGAGUGGCUCGUCAGCAAUGGCAUUCUGGUGGUGAGUGUGCCAGUGCUCUGGGAGGCGGUCUGGGGUCCCCGGGACUCCCUCAUGCCAGCGACUUGAGGUACAGGCCCACCGCUGCCUCAGCCUGGGGACCCUGGGAUUUCAGUUUGUUAAGGGAAUACAGUCUCAAGGGCCCAGGUAAUGAAGUGCAGACCAGCAGCAGCCAGGGUGCUGCGAGGGUGGGUCCCUGAAUGGGGGGUGGGGUUAGUGUCUGAGGGGCUGUCUUCAUGACUCAGGCCCGGGAGCUCUCCUGCUUGCACGUUCAACUGGAGGAGACAGGAGACCAGAAGUAUGAGUCCCCAACCCACUGGGACAGCCCCUGGCUCUCAGCUCUUGUCUUCCCCCUUUAAGCAUUGGACAAUUCUCCCUGGGGCCUGAGCUUUCCCCUUAGGCCUUCUCGGGGGACCGUGGUGGGGGAUCCAUCUCCACCAGACCAUUUCAGCGGGGAGAGGGAGGUGCCCUCCAGGCCACGCAGCAAGAUGGGUUCUGUGGGCAGAGAUACCGUCCCCAGCCUCUCUGCUCUGGUUCCUGUUUCCAGCCUCAGAGCACAGAGUUCAGCUUGUGGUUCCUGGGUCCUGUGAGGGUUCGCAGGAGGCCUCUGUGGGCACUGGCACCUUCCGCUUCCACUGCCCAGCCUGCUGGGAGCAGGAGCUGUGUAUUCACCUGCAGGAUGCCCCCGAGGAGCAACUAAAGGUGCCACUGAGUGCCCUGCCCUCUGGUCAAGUGGUGAGGCUUGUCUUCCCCACGUCCCAGGAGCCCCUGAUGAGAGAGGAGCUGAAAAAAGAAGCAGGACUGAGGGAGCUGGCCAUGCGACUGGGCUUCGGGCCCUGUGCAGAGGAGCAGGCCUUCCUGAGCAGGAGGAAGCAGGUGGUGGCCGCGGCCUUGAGGCAGGCCCUGCAGCUGGACGGAGACCUGCAGGAGGAUGAGAUCCCAGUGGUAGCUAUUAUGGCCACUGGUGGUGGGAUCCGGGCAAUGACUUCCCUGUAU
rnacentral:sRNA from 1 species